UUUCCCCUUCCCUUGCAUGCAAGGCCAUUGGCCGAGUGGGGCAGUGGUGCCACAUGGCCAAGGGUGGGCGCCACUUGGCGCUUCUCCUCCGCCAAGUGGUGGAAGGGAAAGAAAAGAGAAAAAGAAGAAGAAAAGAGAAGAAAGAAGGGGGGCGGUGGUGAUCCGGCAAGAAGGGGAAGAGGAGGCGGUGAUGCUGGCAUUCCGGGCAGCAUGGCGGCGGGGAAAGGGAAGGAAAAUGAACAUGAGGGCGGAGCGGUAAAAACGUGGCAUCGGAAACAAUCGAUGUGAUGGCGAAUGAAACCAAGAAACAUGGUUCACGAUCCCAAAGACGACAAUGGUGACGAUUUCCAAAUUUUCCGUCGACGAAUGCCCUAAUCCCUUAGGAUCCUCUCGUUCCUCUUAUCAUAUGAGGGUUCAAGAUGUCACAGUGUCGCCAAACGUUGUUCGUCCAUUUGCACAGCAAAAAGACAUGUUCAAUAGUUUCCGGGCUUUGCCUACAGAGAGGACACACCGGUUCAGAAUGUGCACAGGUGCACCCAGGAACUAUCUCUCUCCUUGUCCGUGAUUGCUCUCUGUCAAGUUACUAACAGUACCUCAAUAGUUUCAGGCUAUUAUAUCCACAGCAAUUGCCACAAACUCUACCGCGACGCAGCCACAGAGAGAUAUAGCAAAGAAGAAUCCCAGUUAAUCUCUCUAUCAAGCAUUUUGUCGAACACUAGAUCUGCCCGUGGAAGUAGCUUCCGAUUGGCAAAGGAUUGGAGGCUCAAUCAAGGCGGCAAUGAACCAGAUGAGGCAAGCAGCAGUUGAGAAGGCUUGGUUUCAAGACGCAUCAACUGGUAACAACGAUUGAAACCAGCAGUGAAGAAGCAACCGUAACCAUGGUUGGACAGCGGCGCGAUUAAAUGGCAUGGCUCUGGGUGGAAGUGGAAGCACAGAGGCGUAGGGUGGCGUAGACGAUGGAUGAUUGGAGACGCAAUGGAUGAUGAGGAAGGACUCUCACAUCAAAAUCGAGAGAGGAAAAUGAUAUUGCAAAAUAGAAAAUCAUAGAUCAGCUACAUGAAAAAUGACUUGUCCAAAUUCAGAUGGGAAAUCAUUGUCUCUAAAACACCCGAGUUUUGUCGCAUCUACUCUUCUAGCUCCAGCCUGAGAAUGGCAUCUUAUUGUUCUAUCUUAUUCUUCCAUUCUCUCUC